GCAGCCCGGACGUACAAGCCGUCGAAGCUGACGUUCCUUUGCACAGGCUGCACAGACGGGUGUACAAGUUGUUGCUUCUGUUCAUCCACGCGCCAGUGACUCACAUACGUUGCUAGCUUUUGUUACUUGGUCCAUCCCUAGGAAGCAUAAGAUUACUUCAGUAUGCAUAUACACGUUGCUAGCUACGUGCAGGGUAUCUCAAGUUCACAAAUAUUUAUGAGAUUGUUUUACUAGCUUUUGUUAUCAUUUGGCCCUUCAGUAUGCAGAUUGAUCUCAACAUUCAUAAGAAUCUUAAAAAAAUGGAGAUGAAAAUACUUCAAGUAGUUCUGAGUGGAGAUCAUUUGAUAGCAUUUUGUUGUAGCAUCUACAUAAGACCUUUUCAUUUCAUUUUACCGAGAAACGCUGGAGGGUUCAUGUUUUCCUAAUCCAGGACAUGUUGAAGGUUCCUGAUGCAUUCUUACAAGAAGCAACAAUCCAGAGGUAAUUAGUGAAAUGAUAAGAGGGUCAAUUAAUGGUGUUCAAUUUUUCCUUCAAGCAAACAGUUUGUACCCAAAUACAAUACUAUUCAGUAUCAUCCUGAAA